CGGGAUUAAUCCCUGAACCACAGGUGUGAUAAUCCCGAACAGAAUGGUGCUGCUGAACACUGGGGCUGACAUCGCCGGGCCCCAGUCGGCUUUGAUCAGGGGCCCAACAGCUGGGCUCCUAUUGGUCCACAAACUGAAGCUUGACCUGCAUUCAUAAAAACAAGUGGACAGACAGUCUGGAUGCUCUGGUUUGUGGAUUUUAACCUCUAAAAAAACAACCAGUGAAAGGAGUUUGUGUUGAACAUCCAGACUCGCCGAAACACUCGAAUCAAACUCCCACAACAUGAGAAACUGGAGCCCAACGCUCUCUGCUGGAAAGUAGGUCAAACACUCGGCAGCUUGUUGCCCACUGACACACAAAUACAAACUGCUAAUAAUAACUAUAUUAAUUAUGAUAUCGCUCAUAGGAAAGAGAGAGGAUGCAUGAUUUAACUGCUGAGCCAAACAGGAACCUGAGGGAUCUCAAGUUUUUAGUCAGUUUUGGCUUUUUUUGAUGAGACAGCUGAAGAAAUGUGUAAAGAGAAAGAGUCGGAGACAUCCGGUGAAUGAGAGUCGAAUCAGCAGCAGCUGCAACAAGGACGAAUCAGAUCAGAUUCAAGCUUCAACCAGCGUCCUGAUUCACUUUUAUUUAGUUACAGUGACCCUCUUUUUUCUGUCUUUUUGUAAACCAGGUCCACCGUUUCCUCACAAA